CGUGCCUAUCCCGUCAUUCUCAGCGGGGAGCAGUAGAGUGGGACUUCUGGGAGUAUUCUAGAGCGGCAGGAGCAGGCCGAGGCCGAUGAUGUCGGAAAAGAAGCAGCCCGUAGAUCUGGGGCUUUUGGAAGAAGACGACGAGUUCGAGGAGUUUCCUGCCGAAGACUGGGCUGGGUUAGAUGAAGAUGAAGAUGCACAUGUGUGGGAAGAUAAUUGGGAUGAUGAUAAUGUGGAAGAUGAUUUCUCUAACCAGUUAAGAGCGGAACUGGAAAAGCAUUGCUACAAGAUGGAAACUACAUAGCUUCUAAUGGUGUUUCAAUUUGUGUAAUAUAUGAAAUAGAAGAUGGAUUGACGGCAGCCUGUUCCUAUCCUAUUUUUUUUCUGUUUUCUAUAAAUAAACGUUGAAACUAUGUUAUAUAUUUUAGUAUUGUUAUCGCUUGCUUUUGAAUAACUGACAGGUUCAAAGAUAAUGCAUCUGGCUAUUUUAAGCAUGGUUUUCUUACAAUGUUGAUUUCUUAAUGUUAUCUAUUAAUAGUUAAAUAAAGAAAAUUUUAAAAAUGUUCAACUUUCAUGAACUGAAAAGAACAUAUGGUAUAUAAUACAUUUUCAGAGCAAACUAUUACUUUAGAAGCAAUCUACAGAAGGCAAGGUUGAAGUGGAUGCUUCUUAAUCCCAUAUCAUGCUUUAGCUAUACCUAUACUGCUGAAAGUAAUUGUAUUUUCCAUGUUUAUUUUAUCCUUGUAGUGCAGUAUAAUUGAUUUGGAAUUAAUAUUUUGAUUUAUAACCAUUUUUAAGCUACAAAACAAAGCCAUUUCUUUUAGUGGAGAUGAACUCCUGUAAAAACAAUGUUGAUGCUGAAUGAAUAUAUGAAAUUGCUAGUUUUUAUGAUUGAGAUGAGACAAAAAUUUCUUAUUUUAUCGUAAUGGUGUGGGACUGCAACAAGCAAAGAGGCAUGAAUAACCUAGUAAUAAUAACCAAAGAUACUUUCUUUAACCAAAGGUACUUUCUUUAACCUAGUUCAGCUAAAUAUUUUAGAAGAAGAAAUAUUUUGACACUACUAUGAAUAAAUUGUUUUCUAGAAC